AGAACGAACGCUGGCGGCAUGCCUAAUACAUGCAAGUCGAACGAACUCUUCGGAGUUAGUGGCGCACGGGUGCGUAACGCGUGGGAAUCUGCCCUUGGGUUCGGAAUAACAGUUGGAAACGACUGCUAAUACCGGAUGAUGACGAAAGUCCAAAGAUUUAUCGCCCAGGGAUGAGCCCGCGUAGGAUUAGCUAGUUGGUGAGGUAAAGGCUCACCAAGGCGACGAUCCUUAGCUGGUCUGAGAGGAUGAUCAGCCACACUGGGACUGAGACACGGCCCAGACUCCUACGGGAGCCAGCAGGUAGGGAAUAUUGGACAAGUGGGCGAAAGCCUGAUCCAGCAAUGCCGCGUGAGUGAUGAAGGUCCUUAGGGUUAGUAAAGUCUUCUUUUCGCCCGAGAUUCGAUAAUGACAGUAGUCGGAAGAAUUACGGACCCCGGUACUAACCGUCCGU
rnacentral:rRNA from 1 species